rnacentral:rRNA from 1 species
AGUCGAGCGGUAACAGGAAUUAGCUUGCUAAUUUGCUGACGAGCGGCGGACGGGUGAGUAACGCGUAGGAAUCUGCCUGGUAGUGGGGGACAACAUGUGGAAACGCAUGCUAAUACCGCAUACGCCCUACGGGGGAAAGGAGGGGAUCUUCGGACCUUUCGCUAUCAGAUGAGCCUGCGUGAGAUUAGCUAGUUGGUGGGGUAAAGGCUCACCAAGGCGACGAUCUCUAGCUGGUCUGAGAGGAUGAUCAGCCACACUGGGACUGAGACACGGCCCAGACUCCUACGGGAGGCAGCAGUGGGGAAUAUUGGACAAUGGGGGCAACCCUGAUCCAGCCAUGCCGCGUGUGUGAAGAAGGCCUUAGGGUUGUAAAGCACUUUCAGGAGUGAGGAAGGGUGUACGGUUAAUACCCGUAUAUUUUGACGUUAACUCCAGAAGAAGCACCGGCUAACUCUGUGCCAGCAGCCGCGGUAAUACAGAGGGUGCGAGCGUUAAUCGGAAUUACUGGGCGUAAAGCGCGCGUA